rnacentral:rRNA from 1 species
UACGGAGGAGGCAAGCGUUAUCCGGAAUUAUUGGGCGUAAAGCGUCCGUAGGUGGUUGUUCAAGUCUUCUGUCAAAGCGCGGAGCUUAACUCCGUAAAGGCAGAGGAAACUGAGCGGCUAGAGUGCGAUAGGGGCAAGGGGAAUUCCCAGUGUAGCGGUGAAAUGCGUAGAUAUUGGGAAGAACACCGGUGGCGAAAGCGCCUUGCUGGGUCUGCACUGACACUGAGGGACGAAAGCUAGGGGAGCGAAAGGG